rnacentral:rRNA from 1 species
UACGGGGGGAGCAAGCGUUGUUCGGAUUUACUGGGCGUAAAGGGCGCGUAGGCGGUUUGUCGCGUCGGGAGUGAAAUCCACUGGCUUAACUGGUGGCUUGCUUUCGAUACGGGCAGACUGGAGGUAUGGCAGGGGAGAACGGAAUUCCUGGUGUAGCGGUGAAAUGCGCAGAUAUCAGGAGGAACGACCGGUGGCGAAGGCGGUUCUCUGGGCCUUACCUGACGCUGGAGGAGCGAAAGCGUGGGGAGCGAACAGG